rnacentral:rRNA from 1 species
GGGUAUAGACCCGAAACCCGGUGAUCUAGCCAUGGGCAGGUUGAAGGUUGGGUAACACUAACUGGAGGACCGAACCGACUAAUGUUGAAAAAUUAGCGGAUGACUUGUGGCUGGGGGUGAAAGGCCAAUCAAACCGGGAGAUAGCUGGUUCUCCCCGAAAGCUAUUUAGGUAGCGCCUCGUGAAUUCAUCUCCGGGGGUAGAGCACUGUUUCGGCAAGGGGGUCAUCCCGACUUACCAACCCGAUGCAAACUGCGAAUACCGGAGAAUGUUAUCACGGGAGACACACGGCGGGUGCUAACGUCCGUCGUGAAGAGGGAAACAACCCAGACCGCCAGCUAAGGUCCCAAAGUCAUGGUUAAGUGGGAAACGAUGUGGGAAGGCCCAGACAGCCAGGAUGUUGGCUUAGAAGCAGCCAUCAUUUAAAGAAAGCGUAAUAGCUCACUGGUCGAGUCGGCCUGCGCGGAAGAUGUAACGGGGCUAAACCAUGCACCGAAGCUGCGGCAGCGACACUAUGUGUUGUUGGGUAGGGGAGCGUUCUGUAAGCCUGUGAAGGUGGCCUGUGAGGGUUGCUGGAGGUAUCAGAAGUGCGAAUGCUGACAUAAGUAACGAUAAAGCGGGUGAAAAGCCCGCUCGCCGGAAGACCAAGGGUUCCUGUCCAACGUUAAUCGGGGCAGGGUGAGUCGACCCCUAAGGCGAGGCCGAAAGGCGUAGUCGAUGGGAAACAGGUUAAUAUUCCUGUACUUGGUGUUACUGCGAAGGGGGGACGGAGAAGGCUAUGUUGGCCGGGCGACGGUUGUCCCGGUUUAAGCGUGUAGGCUGGUUUUCCAGGCAAAUCCGGAAAACCAAGGCUGAGGCGUGAUGACGAGGCACUACGGUGCUGAAGCGACAAAUGCCCUGCUUCCAGGAAAAGCCUCUAAGCAUCAGGUAACAUCAAAUCGUACCCCAAACCGACACAGGUGGUCAGGUAGAGAAUACCAAGGCGCUUGAGAGAACUCGGGUGAAGGAACUAGGCAAAAUGGUGCCGUAACUUCGGGAGAAGGCACGCUGAUAUGUAGGUGAAGCGACUUGCUCGUGGAGCUGAAAUCAGUCGAAGAUACCAGCUGGCUGCAACUGUUUAUUAAAAACACAGCACUGUGCAAACACGAAAGUGGACGUAUACGGUGUGACGCCUGCCCGGUGCCGGAAGGUUAAUUGAUGGGGUUAGCGGCAACGCGAAGCUCUUGAUCGAAGCCCCGGUAAACGGCGGCCGUAACUAUAACGGUCCUAAGGUAGCGAAAUUCCUUGUCGGGUAAGUUCCGACCUGCACGAAUGGCGUAAUGAUGGCCAGGCUGUCUCCACCCGAGACUCAGUGAAAUUGAACUCGCUGUGAAGAUGCAGUGUACCCGCGGCAAGACGGAAAGACCCCGUGAACCUUUACUAUAGCUUGACACUGAACAUUGAGCCUUGAUGUGUAGGAUAGGUGGGAGGCUUUGAAGUGUGGACGCCAGUCUGCAUGGAGCCGACCUUGAAAUACCACCCUU